UAAAGAAAUAAGGAAAGCAUUUCCUUCACCUUCUGGCAUAUAUAAAGGCUUUGAAUAUGCACAGCAUUUAUAAAUACCUCUUGCAUUGCCUUGUAAAGAAAUGUGUAUGCUUUGGUGCAUAUAGUAUAACAACUCGAUGAAAACCUUCAAGAGCUGAUGUUUGUUUCUCAUUGCUGAGCUUCCCAAUAUCUUUCAUGAGAUACCUGCUUUCAACAAUCGAUGCCAAUUCAGUAAAUGCUCUAGAUCCUUGGAAAAAAGAUAGAAAAUUUUAUGGUGCCCAAUUAUGUCAUAUGUUGACAAAUAACACCACAUUGUGGCAUUGGCUGGCAAUUGAAGUUUGUUGAUAAAGAAAGUAUCAAUUACUGUAAAUAACUAUUAUGUCUUAUACCAGAGCAUUUAGGAUUAAUUUGUACCUUUCUUUAUCCAUAACCGAGGCUCAAGAGUACCAUGCUCACAUUUUGGAAAUAAUUCGCUAUGACCAUCAUGAAUGUUGCAAAUGUGAUUCAGCAAUGAUAGCCAUUUAGCCUUAAGUAGUUUCUCAUCACCACCACUACUUGCAGCACACCAGUAGACAUGGUUAGAUAUUGACUGUGCCCAAUCAAGUAGCAAUCUACAUCCACUCUUCUUACCGGCUGCCAUUACCUUUUUUUUGAUACCUGUAGAAAAAAAUAGACACUGUACAUUGGUUAAAAAAUUGUAAUGCAAAACAUAGCAAUAAUUGAUCAAAAUAUCAUGAAAUUAAAUGCAAUUAGAAAAAUUCUAAAACCUCUUAA